AGUGGGGAAUAUUGCACAAUGGGCGCAAGCCUGAUGCAGCGACGCCGCGUGAGGGAUGACGGCCUUCGGGUUGUAAACCUCUUUCAGUAGGGAAGAAGCGAAAGUGACGGUACCUGCAGAAGAAGCGCCGGCUAACUACGUGCCAGCAGCCGCGGUAAUACGUAGGGCGCAAGCGUUAUCCGGAAUUAUUGGGCGUAAAGAGCUCGUAGGCGGUUUGUCGCGUCUGCUGUGAAAGACCGGGGCUCAACUCCGGUUCUGCAGUGGGUACGGGCAGACUAGAGUGAUGUAGGGGAGACUGGAAUUCCUGGUGUAGCGGUGAAAUGCGCAGAUAUCAGGAGGAACACCGAUGGCGAAGGCAGGUCUCUGGGCAUUAACUGACGCUGAGGAGCGAAAGCAUGGGGAGCGAACAGGAUUAGAUACCCUGGUAGUCCAUGCCGUAAACGUUGGGCACUAGGUGUGGGGGACAUUCCACGUUUUCCGCGCCGUAGCUAACGCAUUAAGUGCCCCGCCUGGGGAGUACCGGCCGCAAAGGCUAAAACUCAAAG
rnacentral:rRNA from 2 species